UUCAUUUCUAUUCCAAGUCCUCCACUCUGCUGGGAUAGGAAGAAACUUAAUUUGUCUCUUCAGGGUUUUCUCUACCAUCCCCGGCUUUGGCAUUCAAGCGUCACAUGUCUUGGCACACCCUCAACGACGGGGACCUAUUGAGGAUAAGUCAGGCUGCCUGGACAACCAUGAAGGUCUGAGAGAAAACCAAGAACUAAGACAAGGUUGAAUGAUAAAGGUUCAUGUCCUACACAAGGUCAUUCCUUCAGGACUGGGACAGGUUCAAUGAAGUCCCAGUUUAUUAAAAAAUAGGAUGUGCGGGGGGACAGAAACUACAAGCUGACUCCAAAAUAUAUAUACAAACAGCCAAGAACAAUCAAGACAAUCUUGAAGAACAAAGCUGGAAAAUCUGUACUACCAGGUAUCAUGACUUAUUAUGAAGGUAUAGUAAUAAAA